CAAUUUAAAGCCCUCGCAGGCUUCUCAAACUCAACCACUUACCAGGUGACGACAGUCAAGUCUCUGAGGGUUCGGGGCUGCGGGCUCCGACUGGAGAUUGGGUUUAGGCCCAACAGGUUUCAGGUGCAGCACUGCCGCCUCACCUGUCCCACCUUUCAGCACUUCUGUGGCCAGUUUCUCUGGAGGAGGCAUCAAAGUUUCCAGUAGAGGAAGAGGCCUUGAGCUGAAGCACAUGCGUCUUGACUGGUCAAGUGACGACAGCCCGGCCCCGAAGGCCACAACGCAGCCCGCAGCUUUCUGUCCGGAGACCUCAGCAUCACGGCCCAGAGUGGCUCUGUGCUCAGGGCCUGCUCUGCAGUCUUGAGCCUUUGGAUGAGAGAUGGGACGUGUCUCUGUUACUGGGUCAUUUACUGGGCCACCUGAGCUGGAAUGUCAGGCAGUGCAAAGACGGACAAGUGGAGGAACGCGUUGAGCUGCGAGGAGCACAUGCAGCCACUCGGUAGCUGUUACUAUGAACUGCUAAUUGAAAUGUUCAAUUACACAGUAUUUUAUUUAUACCGCGACAAUAGUUGACAAAAGCUGAAAAAAACUUGAGUUACGCUGAGUCUACAUUAAGGUCGUACGAGAAAGAAAUGGAUUCAGUAUGUUCAGCCUCUGGCUCUGCACACCAAAAUAAGAAAAUACUAACAUAUAAACACACGUCUGGACAUAUAUGUACAUGUAGAUAUGCAACCAUUGUGUUCAAUGUGAAGCGGAGUCUAUUGGUUCCGCCUUUUUGUCUUUGGUUACUCAGUAUUUUUAUAGCACACUAUACUACACAUGGAAAACUAAAUAUAGAAAAUGUUUUAUUAUUAUUCUUUUUUUUAUUAUUCUAGGAACAAAAAGGGAAAUUUGUGGCUACAAACCCGUGUGAACUUUGUCUGAACUGGAAUCUGCUUAACAGCAGCGACUAACGAUGGUUCAUUUAAUUAUUAUGAAGCGUACUUCUCAUAGUUCACCUACAGGUGGCGCUCUAAUUCUAAACACUGUACCGUUCACGCUUUCGCCUUUGCUCCCACAUGUGUGGUAUUGAUGUUACAGCUGUACAAACCAGUUCAUGCUGAAGGCCAAAAGCUUGCUUUUUACAUUUUACUUCAACACUACCGAAUAAACACGUUCCUCUGUUUGAAAUGC
ensembl:lncRNA